rnacentral:rRNA from 1 species
UACGUAGGCAGCAAGCGUUGUUCGGAGUUACUGGGCGUAAAGGGUGCGUAGGCGGCUUGGUAAGUGUGGUGUGAAAUCUCCCGGCUCAACUGGGAGGGUGCGCUACAAACUGCAGGGCUAGAGUCCGGAAGAGGCGAGUGGAAUUCCUGGUGUAGCGGUGGAAUGCGCAGAUAUCAGGAGGAACACCAAUAGCGAAGGCAGCUCGCUGGGACGGUACUGACGCUAAGGCGCGAAAAGCGUGGGGAGCGAACAGG